UGGGGAAUAUUGCACAAUGGAGGGAACUCUGAUGCAGCGACGCCGCGUGAGUGAUGAAGGAAUUCGUUUAGUAAAACUCUGUUCUAUGGGAAGAAAAGGACUGUACCAUAGGAGAAAGCUCCGGCUAAAUACGUGCCAGCAGCCGCGGUAAUACGUAUGGAGCGAGCGUUGUCCGGAAUUAUUGGGCGUAAAGGGUGCGCAGGCGGCUUUACAAGUUGGAUGUGAAAUAUUGUGGCUCAACCACAAACGUGCAUCCAAAACUGCAAAGCUUGAGUUAAGGAGAGGUAAGUGGAAUUCCUGGUGUAGCGGUGGAAUGCGUAGAUAUCAGGAGGAAUACCGGUGGCGAAGGCGACUUACUGGAAUUAAACUGACGCUCAGGCACGAAAGCGUGGGGAGCAAACAGG
rnacentral:rRNA from 1 species